GCCAGGUGUGGUGGCUCACGCCUGUAAUCCCACCACUUUGGGAGGCUGAGGCGGGUGGAUCACCUGAGGUCAGGAGUUGAAGACCAGCCUGGCCAACACGGUGAAAGCCCGUCUCUA
ensembl:misc_RNA Metazoa_SRP Metazoan signal recognition particle RNA